CACGGCGCCUCGUGCACCGCGCACCGGCCGCUGCCUCAGCCUUCCCGCGCGGUCCUCCCGGACUUGGCUUCCCCCAGGCUCUGCGCGGGGUGCGACUGAGAGGUUCCGGAGUCCGGACGCCCGCGGGCUGCCGAAGAGCAGGUUCCGCCAGCCCGGCCCGCUCAGCGCCGCCCCGGGGUGCGCAGUGUUGACGUCAUUCUGUACCUGGCACUGCAUGUUCUAGCGAUAGUUCACAGUCACCUCAGAAAGAGGCUUUUUUUCUGGACAGCUCAAAAGGAAAUAUUUAUAUACUUGGAAUGCAGAAUAUUUUGGUAUUGGUAAGUCUGACUGGGGAUAUUGCUCUGUGGUAUGAGUGCCUCCCUGGUAUUGGUAAGUCUGUCCAUGAAACUUUUGUAAGAGCUUGGGACCCAGGAUGUGUGAUUUGUCCCCCUCUGUAACAAACAUCCCUGUGGUUCCUUCUGAGCCUGUGGAUGACAGAAACUCAAACCCAGAACAGUUUCAUCUGGAACAGGAGCCGUUUACUUAUUUAUUCUUUGCAGUUAAAAAAAAAAUUACUAGUACAUUUUAGAUACACAUAAUGAUAACAUUCAUAAUAGAGAGUUCAUAUCUGUACAUGAUUUAUCUUGCACCUUUUUUCCCAUCUCCUUCCCCUGCCUUCAAAUCUUCUUCCUCUCCUUACUUAGAAAA